rnacentral:rRNA from 1 species
AAUCUUUCGCAAUGGACGCAAGUCUGACGGAGCCACGCCGCGUGCGUGAUGAAGGUUUUCGGAUCGUAAAACUCUGUUGUUAGGGAAGAACAAGUAUCGGAGUCACUGCCGGUACCUUGACGGUAACUGACGAGAAAGCCACGGCUAACUACGUGCCAGCAGCCGCGGUAAUAGUGAGGGGGCAAGCGUUGUCCGGAUUUAUUGGGGGUAAAGCGCGAGCAGGGGGUCUUUUAAGGCUGGUGUGAAAACUUACAGCCUAACUGUAAGCGGUCAUUGGAAACUGGGAGACUUGAGUGCAGAAGAGGAGAGGGGAAUUCCAUGUGUAGCGGUGAAAUGCGUAGAGAUAUGGAGGAACACCAGUGGCGAAGGCGACUCUCUGGUCUGCAACUGACGCUGAGGCGCGAAAGCGUGGGGAUCAAACA